rnacentral:rRNA from 1 species
GGCUCAGGACGAACGCUGGCGGCGUGCCUAAUACAUGCAAGUCGAACGAACUCUGGUAUUGAUUGGUGCUUGCAUCAUGAUUUACAUUUGAGUGAGUGGCGAACUGGUGAGUAACACGUGGGAAACCUGCCCAGAAGCGGGGGAUAACACCUGGAAACAGAUGCUAAUACCGCAUAACAACUUGGACCGCAUGGUCCGAGCUUGAAAGAUGGCUUCGGCUAUCACUUUUGGAUGGUCCCGCGGCGUAUUAGCUAGAUGGUGGGGUAACGGCUCACCAUGGCAAUGAUACGUAGCCGACCUGAGAGGGUAAUCGGCCACAUUGGGACUGAGACACGGCCCAAACUCCUACGGGAGGCAGCAGUAGGGAAUCUUCCACAAUGGACGAAAGUCUGAUGGAGCAACGCCGCGUGAGUGAAGAAGGGUUUCGGCUCGUAAAACUCUGUUGUUAAAGAAGAACAUAUCUGAGAGUAACUGUUCAGGUAUUGACGGUAUUUAACCAGAAAGCCGCGGCUAACUACGUGCCAGCAGCCGCGGUAAUACGUAGGUGGCAAGCGUUGUCCGGAUUUAUUGGGCGUAAAGCGAGCGCAGGCGGUUUUUUAAGUCUGAUGUGAAAGCCUUCGGCUCAACCGAAGAAGUGCAUCGGAAACUGGGAAACUUGAGUGCAGAAGAGGACAGUGGAACUCCAUGUGUAGCGGUGAAAUGCGUAGAUAUAUGGAAGAACACCAGUGGCGAAGGCGGCUGUCUGGUCUGUAACUGACGCUGAGGCUCGAAAGUAUGGGUAGCAAACAGGAUUAGAUACCCUGGUAGUCCAUACCGUAAACGAUGAAUGCUAAGUGUUGGAGGGUUUCCGCCCUUCAGUGCUGCAGCUAACGCAUUAAGCAUUCCGCCUGGGGAGUACGGGCCGCAAGGCUGAAACUCAAAGGAAUUGACGGGGGCCCGCACAAGCGGUGGAGCAUGUGGUUUAAUUCGAAGCUACGCGAAGAACCUUACCAGGUCUUGACAUACUAUGCAAAUCUAAGAGAUUAGACGUUCCCUUCGGGGACAUGGAUACAGGUGGUGCAUGGUUGUCGUCAGCUCGUGUCGUGAGAUGUUGGGUUAAGUCCCGCAACGAGCGCAACCCUUAUUAUCAGUUGCCAGCAUUAAGUUGGGCACUCUGGUGAGACUGCCGGUGACAAACCGGAGGAAGGUGGGGAUGACGUCAAAUCAUCAUGCCCCUUAUGACCUGGGCUACACACGUGCUACAAUGGAUGGUACAACGAGUUGCGAACUCGCGAGAGUAAGCUAAUCUCUUAAAGCCAUUCUCAGUUCGGAUUGUAGGCUGCAACUCGCCUACAUGAAGUCGGAAUCGCUAGUAAUCGCGGAUCAGCAUGCCGCGGUGAAUACGUUCCCGGGCCUUGUACACACCGCCCGUCACACCAUGAGAGUUUGUAACACCCAAAGUCGGUGGGGUAACCUUUUAGGAACCAGCCGCCUAAGGUGGGACAGAUGAUUAGGGUG